rnacentral:rRNA from 1 species
UGGGGAAUAUUGGACAAUGGGCGCAAGCCUGAUCCAGCCAUGCCGCGUGAGUGAUGAAGGCCCUAGGGUUGUAAAGCUCUUUCACCGGUGAAGAUAAUGACGGUAACCGGAGAAGAAGCCCCGGCUAACUUCGUGCCAGCAGCCGCGGUAAUACGAAGGGGGCUAGCGUUGUUCGGAUUUACUGGGCGUAAAGCGCACGUAGGCGGACUAUUAAGUCAGGGGUAAAAUCCCGGGGCUCAACCCCGGAACUGCCUUUGAUACUGGUAGUCUUGAGUUCGAGAGAGGUGAGUGGAAUUCCGAGUGUAGAGGUGAAAUUCGUAGAUAUUCGGAGGAACACCAGUGGCGAAGGCGGCUCACUGGCUCGAUACUGACGCUGAGGUGCGAAAGCGUGGGGAGCAAACAGG